rnacentral:rRNA from 1 species
AUGUUGUGUAAUCGCCUCACAAGAUUAGAAGGCAAUCCCAUAUGCUCAAAACUCAAAGAUACAUACUGCUCAAAUAAGAAGAACACGAUGCAUAUUAUGCUAACCGCAGUGAUAGUUCCUGUGGUAGUGGUAUCCCUCCUAGUAGUGAUGUGCAUACUCUGGAAGUUAUGCUGGAAAGCGAAAUCAGGAGACCAUGAGGAUUAUGCUAUGUAUGAAGAGGAAACUCCACUACAUAUUGAUAUCAGGCGGUUCACAUACGCAGAGCUGAAGCUAAUAACAAGUGACUUCCAAUCAAUCAUUGGAAAAGGAGGUUUCGGUAUAGUUUAUCAUGGCACACUAGAAAAUGGUGAUGAAGUAGCUGUGAAGGUGCUUAUGGAGACAUCAAUAGCAGAGGCAACAGACUUCCUCCCUGAGGUGCAAACCUUGUCCAAAGUUUAUCACAAGAACCUUGUGACUUUACAAGGAUAUUGCCAGAACAAGAAGUGCCUAGCACUCGUUUAUGAUUUCAUGCCCAGAGGAAAUCUUCAACAGCUUUUAAGAGGAGGAGACGACUAUAGUUUGAAUUGGGAACAACGACUUCAUAUUGCACUGGAUGCUGCACAAGGACUGGAGUAUCUACAUGAGUUAUGCACCCCAUCAAUAGUGCACAGAGAUGUGAAGACCCCAAACAUCCUUCUGGACAAGAAUCUAGUGGGGGUAAUAUCUGAUUUUGGGCUUUCACGGGCUUUUAAUGAUGCUCACACACACAUAUCUACUGUUGCUGCUGGCACUCUUGGCUACCUCGACCCUGAGUACCAUGCAACUUUCCAGCUCACAGUCAAGACAGACGUUUACAGCUUCGGCAUCGUGCUCUUGGAGAACAUCACCGGCCAACCCCCAGUAUUUAUGGACCCUCAAACUGUCCACCUACCAAAUUGGGUGCGGCAAAAGAUAGCUAACGACAGCAUUCACGACGUUGUAGACAAGAAACUGCUGGAUCUGUACGAUGCCGGUUCCCUGCAGAGUGUAGUGGACCUUGCCAUGAACUGCGUGGGGAAUGCAGCCAUCGACAGGCCGACCAUGACCGAGGUUGCUUGA